rnacentral:rRNA from 1 species
GAUGAACGCUGGCGGCGUGCCUAAUACAUGCAAGUCGAGCGAACGGACGAUAAGCUUGCUCCUCUGAUGUUAGCGGCGGACGGGUGAGUAACACGUGGAUAACCUACCUAUAAGACUGGGAUAACUUCGGGAAACCGGAGCUAAUACCGGAUAAUAUGUUGAACCGCAUGGUUCAAAAGUGAAAGACGGUCUUGCUGUCACUUAUAGAUGGAUCCGCGCUGCAUUAGCUAGGUGGUAAGGUAACGGCUUACCAAGGCAACGAUGCAUAGCCGACCUGAGAGGGUGAUCGGCCACACUGGAACUGAGACACGGUCCAGACUCCUACGGGAGGCAGCAGUAGGGAAUCUUCCGCAAUGGGCGAAAGCCUGACGGAGCAACGCCGCGUGAGUGAUGAAGGUCUUCGGAUCGUAAAACUCUGUUAUUAGGGAAGAACAUAUGUGUAAGUAACUGUGCACAUCUUGACGGUACCUAAUCAGAAAGCCACGGCUAACUACGUG